rnacentral:rRNA from 1 species
AAUGAACGUUGGUGGCGUGGAUUAGGCAUGCAAGUCGUGCGAGAAGGUGGCUUCGGCCACCGGACAGCGGCGAACGGGGUAGUAAGGCGUCGGAACGUGCCCACGGGUCCGGGAUAGCGGCGGGAAACUGCCGGUAAUACCGGAUGACCUCUCUGGAGCAAAGGUGUGAUUCCGCCUGUGGAGCGGCCGACGUGAUACCAGCUAGUUGGUGAGGUAACGGCUCACCAGGGCUCAGACGUCUAGGGGGUGUGAGAGCAUGGCCCCCACCACUGGGACUGAGACACUGCCCAGACACCUACGGGUGGCUGCAGUCGAGAAUCUUCGGCAAUGGGCGCAAGCCUGACCGAGCGACGCCACGUGCGGGAUGACGGCCCUCGGGUUGUAAACCGCUGUCGAGGGGGAUGAAGUCACGAAGGGCAAUCCCUUCGUGUUGACAGAGCCCUGGAGGAAGCGCGGGCUAAGUACGUGCCAGCCGCCGCCGUAAGAC